GAUGAAGAACGUAGCGAAAUGCGAUAAGUAAUGUGAAUUGCAGAAUUCAGUGAAUCAUCGAAUCUUUGAACGCAUCUUGCGCUCCUUGGUAUUCCUUGGAGCAUGCCUGUUUGAGUAUCAUGAGCAAAUCUCAAAGUCAAUUCCUUUUGUUGAUUCAAUUGGUUUUGCUUUGGACUUGGAGGCCUUGCAGAUUUCACAGUCUGCUCCUCUUAAAUGCAUUAGCUGGAUCUCAGUAAUUAUGCUUGGUUCCACUCGGCGUGAUAAGUAUCACUCGCUGAGGACACUGUUAAAAAGGUGGCCAGGAAGAUACUGAUUGAACCGCUUCUAACGGUCUAUUAAGUUAGACAAUUACCCUUAAGUUUGAUCUCAAAUCAGGUAGGACUACCCGCUGAACUUAAGCAUAUCAAUAAGCGGAGGA
rnacentral:misc_RNA from 1 species